rnacentral:rRNA from 1 species
UACGUAGGGGGCAAGCGUUGUCCGGAAUUAUUGGGCGUAAAGCGCGUGUAGGCGGCUCGGUAAGUCUGCUGUGAAAGUCCAGGGCUCAACCCUGGAACGCCGGUGGAUACUGUCGAGCUCGAGUCCGGAAGAGGCGAGUGGAAUUCCUGGUGUAGCGGUGAAAUGCGUAGAUAUCGGGAGGAACACCAGUGGCGAAGGCGACUACCUGGCCUGUUCUUGACGCUGAGGCGCGAAAGCUAGGGGAGCAAACGGG